UACGUAGGGGGCAAGCGUUGUCCGGAUUUCUUGGGCGUAAAGAGCGUGUAGGCGGCUUGGCAAGUCCGCUGUGAAAACUCGAGGCUUAACCUCGAGACGUCGGUGGAAACUGCUUGGCUAGAGUCCGGAAGAGGAGAGUGGAAUUCCUGGUGUAGCGGUGAAAUGCGCAGAUAUCAGGAAGAACACCCGUGGCUAAGGCGGCUCUCUAGUACGGUACUGACGCUGAGACGCGAAAGCGUGGGGAGCGAACAGG
rnacentral:rRNA from 1 species